GUCAGUGCGCAGGGAGACCAGAACGAUGCUGCCACCAGGAUCGGGUCCAUUCAGUGAGGCUCAGGGGAGGGCCCAGGGCUACUGUGCAGGGCUGCGUGAGGAGAGGCUACGACUCAGCAGUAUGUAUCUGAGAGACCAAUGAGAUGGAUAAAAAAAAAAGAUCUGAUGGAUAAGACAGAGAUGAGCAGAGGGAUGACACCGAUAGAGCUGAUUGAUGAGACAAAGAGAAGGCAAAAGAUGAGGUUCAGAAGAUGAGGAGUGACACAUGAAAGAGCUGAUUAAUGAGACAAAAAGAAGGCAAAGGAUGAGGUUCAGAAGCUGAGGAGUGACACAUGAAAGAGCUGAUUAAUGAGACAAAGAGAAGGAAAUGGAUGAGGUUCAGAAGCUGAGGAGUGACACAUGAAAGAGCUGAUUAAUGAGACAAAAAAAAGUAAAAGGAUGACGUUCAGAAGCUGAGGAGUGACACAUGAAAGAGCUGAGCAAUGAGACAAAAAGAAGGCAAAGGAUGAGUUUAAGAAGCAGAGAGAUGUGUCAGAGGGAGCUGAUUAAUGAGACAAAGAGAAGGCAAAGGAUGUGGUUCAGAAGCUGAGGAGUGACACAUGAAAGAGCUGAGCAAUGAGACAAAAAGAAGGCAAAGGAUGAGGUUAAGAAGCAGAGAGAUGUGUCAGAGAGAGCUGAUUAAUGAGACAAAGAGAAGGCAAAGGAUGAGGCUAAGAAGCAGAGAGAUGUGUCAGAGGGAGCUGAUUAAUGAGACAAAGAGAAGGCAAAGGAUGAGGUUCAGAAGCCGAGGAGUGACACAUGAAAGAGCUGAGCAAUGAGACAAAAAGAAGGCAAAGGAUGAGGUUAAGAAGCAGAGAGAUGUGUCAGAGGGAGCUGAUUAAUGAGACAAAGAGAAGGCAAAGGAUGAGGUUCAGAAGCCGAGGAGUGACACAUGAAAGAGCUGAUUAAUGAGACAAAGAGAAGGAAAAGGAUGAGGUUCAGAAGCUGAGGAGUGACACAUGAAAGAGCUGAUUAAUGAGACAAAAAGAAGGCAAAGGAUGAGGUUAAGAAGCAGAUAGAUGUGUCAGAGGGAGCUGAUUAAUGAGACAAAGAGAAGGCAAAGGAUGAGGUUCAGAAGCUGAGGAGUGACACAUGAAAGAGCUGAUUAAUGAGACAAAGAGAGAAGGAUGAGGUUAAGAAGCAGAGAGAUGUGUCAGAGGGAGCUGAUUAAUGAGACAAAGAGAAGGAAAAGGAUGAGGUUCAGAAGCUGAGGAGUGACACAUGAACGAGCUGAAUAAUGAGACAAAGAGAAGGCAAAGGAUGAGGUUAAGAAGCAGAGAGAUGUGUCAGAGGGAGCUGAUUACUAAGACAAAGAGAAAGAGAAGGAUGAGGUUAAGAAGCAGAGAGAUGUGUCAGAGGGAGCUGAUUAAUGAGACAAAGAGAAGGAAAAGGAUGAGGUUAAGAAGCUGAGGAGUGACACAUGAAGAGCUGAUUACUGAGACAAAGAGAAAGAAAAGGAUGAGGUUAAGAAGCAGAGAGACGUGUCAGAGGGAGCUGAUUAAUGAGACAAAGAGAAGGAAAAUGAUGAGAUUAAGAAGCUGAGGAGUGACACAUGAAGAGCUGAUUACUGAGACAAAGAGAAAGAAAAGGAUGAAGUUAAGAAGCAGAGAGACGUGUCAGAGGGAGCUGAUUAAUGAGACAAAGAGAAGGAAAAGGAUGAGGCUAAGAAGCAGAGGAGUGACACAUGAAAGAGCUAAAUAAUGAGACAAAGAGAAAGAAAAGGAUGAGGUUAAGAAGCAGAGAGACGUGUCACAGGGAGCUGAUUAAUGAGACAAAGAGAAGGCAAAGGAUGAGGCUAAGAAGCAGAGGAGUGACACAUGAAAGAGCUAAAUAAUGAGACAAAGAGAAGGAAAAGGAUAAGGUUAAGAAGCAGAGAGACGUGCCAGAGGGAGCUGAUUAAUGAGACAAAGAGAAGGAAAAGGAUGAGGUUAAGAAGCAGAGAGACGUGUCACAGGGAGCUGAUUAAUGAGACAAAGAGAAGGAAAAGGAUGAGGUUAAGAAGCAGAGAGACGUGUCACAGGGAGCUGAUUAAUGAGACAAAGAGAAGGAAAAGGAUGAGGUUCAGAAGCUGAGUAGUGACACAUAAAAUAGCUGAUUAAUGAGACAAAGAGAAGGAAAAGGAUGAGGUUAAGAAGCAGAGAGAUGUGUCAGAGGGAGCUGAUUAAUGAGACAAAGAGAAGGAAAAUGAUGAGAUUAAGAAGCUGAGGAGUGACACAUGAAGAGCUGAUUACUGAGACAAAGAGAAAGAAAAGGAUGAGGUUAAGAAGCAGAGAGACGUGUCACAGGGAGCUGAUUAAUGAGACAAAGAGAAGGAAAAGGAUGUGGUUAAGAAGCUGAGGAGUGACACAUGAAAGAGCUAAAUAGGGAGACAAAGAGAAAGAAAAGGAUGAGGUUAAGAAGCAGAGGAGUGACACAUGAAAGAGCUAAAUAAUGAGACAAAGAGAAAGAAAAGGAUGAGGUUAAGAAGCAGAGAGACGUGCCAGAGGGAGCUGAUUAAUGAGACAAAGAGAAGGAAAAGGAUGAGGCUAAGAAGCAGAGGAGUGACACAUGAAAGAGCUAAAUAAUGAGACAAAGAGAAGGAAAAGGAUGAGGUUAAGAAGCUGAGGAGUGACACAUGAAGAGCUGAUUACUGAGACAAAGAGAAAGAAAAGGAUGAGGUUAAGAAGCAGAGAGACGUGUCACAGGGAGCUGAUUAAUGAGACAAAGAGAAGGAAAAGGAUGUGGUUAAGAAGCUGAGGAGUGACACAUGAAAGAGCUAAAUAGGGAGACAAAGAGAAAGAAAAGGAUGAGGUUAAGAAGCAGAGGAGUGACACAUGAAAGAGCUAAAUAAUGAGACAAAGAGAAAGAAAAGGAUGAGGUUAAGAAGCAGAGAGACGUGCCAGAGGGAGCUGAUUAAUGAGACAAAGAGAAGGAAAAGGAUGAGGCUAAGAAGCAGAGGAGUGACACAUGAAAGAGCUAAAUAAUGAGACAAAGAGAAAGAAAAGGAUGAGGUUAAGAAGCAGAGAGACGUGUCAGAGGGAGCUGAUUAAUGAGACAAAGAGAAGGAAAAGGAUGAGGUUAAGAAGCAGAGGAGUGACACAUGAAAGAGCUGAUUACUGAGACAAAGAGAAAGAAAAGGAUGAGGUUAAGAAGCAGAGAGAUGUGUCACAGGGAGCUGAUUAAUGAGACAAAGAGAAGGAAAAGGAUGAGGCUAAGAAGCAGAGAGAUGUGUCAGAGGGAGCUGAUUAAUGAGACAAAGAGAAAGAGAAGGAUGAGGUUAAGAAGCAGAGAGACGUGUCAGAGGGAGCUGAUUAAUGAGACAAAGAGAAGGAAAAGGAUGAGGCUAAGAAGCAGAGAGAUGUGUCUGAGGGAGCUGAUUAAUGAGACAAAGAGAAGGAAAAGGAUGAGGUUAAGAAGCAGAGAGACGUGUCAGAGGGAGCUGAUUAAUUAGACAAAGAGAAAGAAAAGGACGAGGUUAAGAAGCAGAGAGAUGUGUCACAGGGAGCUGAUUAAUGAGACAAAGAGAAGGAAAAGGAUGAGGUUAAGAAGCAGAGAGACGUGUCAGAGGGAGCUGAGGCAUGAGAUAAUGUUGAAGUGAUGGAGGAAAGAAUUACAGACUAUGGAAGGAUUGUAUGUAAAUCUGCAAAUAAAUAAAAUAAAUAAAAUUAAAAACAAA